GACAGAGGAUGCAAGCGUUAUCCGGAAUGAUUGGGCGUAAAGCGUCUGUAGGUGGCUUUUUAAGUCCGCCGUCAAAUCCCAGGGCUCAACCCUGGACAGGCGGUGGAAACUACCAAGCUGGAGUACGGUAGGGGCAGAGGGAAUUUCCGGUGGAGCGGUGAAAUUCGUAGAUAUUCGGAAGAACACCAGUGGCGAAGGCGACACACUGGCUCACUACUGACGCUGAGGCGCGAAAGCGUGGGGAGCAAACAGG
rnacentral:rRNA from 1 species